rnacentral:rRNA from 1 species
ACGGAGGAUGCGAGCGUUAUCCGGAUUUAUUGGGUUUAAAGGGAGCGUAGAUGGGCUUUUAAGUCAGUUGUGAAAUUCUGCGGCUCAACCGUAGGACUGCAGUUGAAACUGGGAGCCUUGAGUGCAGUUGAGGUGCAUGGAAUUCGUGGUGUAGCGGUGAAAUGCUUAGAUAUCACGAAGAACUCCGAUUGCGAAGGCAGUGCACCAAGCUGUAACUGACAUUGAUGCUCGAAAGUGUGGGUAUCAAACAG